UACGGGGGGAGCAAGCGUUGUUCGGAUUUACUGGGCGUAAAGGGCGCGUAGGCGGCCUUCUAAGUCGAACGUGAAAUCCCUGGGCUCAACCCAGGAACUGCGUCCGAUACUGGAAGGCUUGAAUCCGGGAGAGGGAUGCGGAAUUCCAGGUGUAGCGGUGAAAUGCGUAGAUAUCGGGAGGAACACCAAUGGCGAAGGCAGCUCGCUGGGACGGUACUGACGCUGAGACGCGAAAGCGUGGGGAGCAAACAGG
rnacentral:rRNA from 1 species